CCUACGGGGUGCAGCAGUGGGGAAUAUUGGGCAAUGGGCGCAAGCCUGACCCAGCAAUGCCGCGUGAAGGAAGAAGGCUUUCGGGUUGUAAACUUCUUUGACAGGGGAAGAGCAGAAGACGGUACCCUGAAAACAAGCCACGGCUAACUACGUGCCAGCAGCCGAGGUAAUACGUAGGUGGCAAGCGUUGUCCGGAUUUACUGGGUGUAAAGGGCGUGUAGCCGGGAAGGCAAGUCAGAUGUGAAAUCUGGAGGCUCAACCUCCAAAUUGCAUGUGAAACUGUUUUUCUUGAGUACUGGAGAGGCAGACGGAAGUCCUUGUGUAGCGGUGAAAUGCGUAGAUAUAAGGAGGAACACCAGUGGCGAAGGCGGUCUGCUGGACAGCAACUGACGGGGAGGCGCGAAAGCGUGGGGAGCAAACAGGAUUAGAUACCCGGGUAGUC
rnacentral:rRNA from 1 species